UACAGAGGUCUCAAGCGUUGUUCGGAUUCAUUGGGCGUAAAGGGCGCGUAGGCGGCGGGGUAAGUCGGGUGUGAAAUCUCAGAGCUCAACUCUGAAAUGGCACUUGAUACUGCUCUGCUAGAGGACUGGAGAGGAGAUUGGAAUUCACGGUGUAGCAGUGAAAUGCGUAGAUAUCGUGAGGAAGACCGGUGGCGAAGGCGGAUCUCUGGACAGUUCCUGACGCUGAGGAGCGAAAGCGUGGGGAGCGAACAGG
rnacentral:rRNA from 1 species